GCAUAAUCACUUGUCCCCUAAAUCGGGACUGGAAUGAACGGCUAAAUGAGGACUAAACUGUCUCUUACAGGCCAGCCAAUGAAAUUGAUUUUCCAGUACAAAAGCUGGGAUACACCCACAAGACGAGAAGACCCUGUGGAGCUUACAAACCAAAUUCACCAAACAUGUCUAUCGGUUUUCAGUUGGGGCGACUUCGGAGUACAAAAUAACCUCCAAACAUAAAACUAAUUAAGAACAACAUAUCAAAAUAUAUUUAUAAUGACCCAGCAACCUUGUGGUUGUCUGACUAAUGAACCAAGUUACCCCAGGGAUAACAGCGCCAUCCCCUUCUAGAGUCCCUAUCGACAAGGGGGUUUACGACCUCGAUGUUGGAUCAGGACACCCCAAUGGUGCAGCCGCCAUUAACGGUUCGUUUGUUCAACGAUUAAAGUCCAACGUGAU
rnacentral:rRNA from 1 species